rnacentral:rRNA from 1 species
GGUCCAUGUAUUUAUAUAUGGACAGUGGCAAACGGGGUAGUAACAGGUAGGAACAUACUCAUGAGUCAGGAAUAACUGCAGGAAACUGUAGCUAAUACUUGAUGGUCCCUUCGGGGUAAAGAUUUAUCGCUCAUGAAAUGGCCUGCUUCGUAUCAGCUUGUUGGUAGUGUAAUGGACUACCAAGGCUAUGACGCGUAGGGGAGGUGAGAGCCUGACCCCCACCAUUGGAACUGCGACACGGUCCAAACUCC